rnacentral:rRNA from 1 species
UAGGGAAUCUUCCGCAAUGGACGAAAGUCUGACGGAGCAACGCCGCGUGAGUGAAGAAGGAUUUCGGUUCGUAAAACUCUGUUGUUAGGGAAGAAAAAAUGUAUAGUAACUAUAUACAAAAGAGACGGUACCUAACCAGAAAGCCACGGCUAACUACGUGCCAGCAGCCGCGGUAAUACGUAGGUGGCAAGCGUUGUCCGGAAUUAUUGGGCGUAAAGCGCGCGCAGGUGGUUUAGAAAGUCUGAUGUGAAAGCCCACGGCUCAACCGUGGAGGGUCAUUGGAAACUAAUAAACGUGAGUGCAGGAGAGAAAAGUGGAAUUCCUAGUGUAGCGGUGAAAUGCGUAGAGAUUAGGCGGAACACCGGUGGCGAAAGCGGCUUUUUGGCCUGCAACUGACACAGAGGCGCGAAAGCGUGGGGAGCAAACAGG